rnacentral:rRNA from 1 species
UACAGAGGUCCCAAGCGUUGUUCGGAUUCAUUGGGCGUAAAGCGCACGUAGGCGGAUUGUUAAGUCAGGGGUGAAAUCCUGGAGCUCAACUCCAGAACUGCCUUUGAUACUGAGAAGCUUGAGUCCGGGAGAGGUGAGUGGAACUGCGAGUGUAGAGGUGAAAUUCGUAGAUAUUCGCAAGAACACCAGUGGCGAAGGCGGCUCACUGGCCCGGUACUGACGCUGAGGUGCGAAAGCGUGGGGAGCAAACAGG